rnacentral:rRNA from 1 species
AUCGAACGCUGGCGGCAGGCCUAACACAUGCAAGUCGAGCGGAUGAAGGGAGCUUGCUCCUGGAUUCAGCGGCGGACGGGUGAGUAAUGCCUAGGAAUCUGCCUGGUAGCGGGGGAUUACGUCCGGAAACGGGCGCUAAUACCGCAUACGUCCUGAGGGAGAAAGUGGGGGAUCUUCGGACCUCACGCGAUCAGAUGAGCCUAGGUCAGAUUAGCUAGUUGGUGGGGUAAAGGCCUACCAAGGCGACGAUCCGUAACUGGACUGAGAGGAUGAUCAGUCACACGGGAGGUGAGACGCGGUCCAGGCGCCUAAGGGAGGCAGCAGUGGGGAAUGGUGGACAAUGGGCGAAAGCCUGACGCAGCCGUGGCGCGCGUGUGGAGGAGGUCCUCGGAUUGUAAAGAACUUUAUGUUGGGAGAAAGGGCAGUAAGUUAAGACCUUGCUGUAUUGACGUUACCAACAGAAGAAGCACCGGCUAACUACGUG